rnacentral:rRNA from 1 species
AUUGAACGCUGGCGGCAUGCCUUACACAUGCCAGUCGAACGGCAGCACGGGGGCAACCCUGGUGGCGAGUGGCGAACGGGUGAGUAAUGCAUCGGAACGUGCCCAGUAGUGGGGGAUAACCAGUCGAAAGGCUGGCUAAUACCACAUACGACCUACGGGUGAAAGCGGGGGACCGCAAGGCCUCGCGCUAUUGAGCGGCCGAUGUCUGAUUAGCUAGUUGGCGGGGUAAGAGCCCACCAAGGCGACGAUCAGUAGCUGGUCUGAGAGGACGACCAGCCACACUGGGACUGAGACACGGCCCAGACUCCUACGGGAGGCAGCAGUGGGGAAUUUUGGACAAUGGGCGCAAGCCUGAUCCAGCCAUGCCGCGUGCGGGAAGAAGGCCUUCGGGUUGUAAACCGCUUUUGGCAGGAACGAAACGGCGCAAGCCAAUACCUUGCGCUAAUGACGGUACCUGCAGAAUAAGCACCGGCUAACUACGUGCCAGCAGCCGCCGCCGUAAGAC